CAGUUAAAAAGCUCGUAGUUGAACCUUGGGUCUGGCUGGCCGGUCCGCCUCACCGCGAGUACUGGUCCGGCUGGACCUUUCCUUCUGGGGAAUCCCAUGGCCUUCACUGGCUGUGGGUGGAACCAGGACUUUUACUGUGAAAAAAUUAGAGUGUUCAAAGCAGGCCUUUGCUCGAAUACAUUAGCAUGGAAUAAUAGAAUAGGACGUGCGGUUCUAUUUUGUUGGUUUCUAGGACCGCCGUAAUGAUUAAUAGGGAUAGUCGGGGGCGUCAGUAUUCAGCUGUCAGAGGUGAAAUUCUUGGAUUUGCUGACGACUAACUACUGCGAAAGCAUUCGCCAAGGAUGUUUUCAUUAAUCAGGGAACGAAAGUUAGGGGAUCGAAGACGAUCAGAUACCGUCGUAGUCUUAACCAUAAACUAUGCCGACUAGGGAUCGGGCGGCGUCUCUAUGAUGACCCGCUCGGCACCUUACGAGAAAUCAAAGUUUCCGGGUUCUGGGCGGGAGUAUGGUCGCAAGGCUGAAACUUAGACAACUUGACGGAAGGGCACCACAAGGCGUGGAGCCCGCGGCUUAAUUUGACUCAACACGGGGAAACUCACCAGGUCCAGACAAAAUAAGGAUUGACAGAUUGAGAGCUCUUUCUUGAUCUUUUGGAUGGUGGUGCAUGGCCGUUCUUAGUUGGUGGAGUGAUUUGUCUGCUUAAUUGCGAUAACGAACGAGACCUCGGCCCUUAAAUAGCCCGGUCCGCAUCCGCGGGCCGCUGGCUUCUUAGGGGGACUAUCGGCUCAAGCCGAUGGAAGUGCGCGGCAAUAACAGGUCUGUGAUGCCCUUAGAUGUUCUGGGCCGCACGCGCGCUACACUGACAGGGCCAGCGAGUACAUCACCUUGGCCGAGAGGCCCGGGUAAUCUUGUUAACCCUGUCGUGCUGGGGAUAGAGCAUUGCAAUUAUUGCUCUUCAA
rnacentral:rRNA from 1 species